AGUGAACGCUGGCGGUAGGCCUAACACAUGCAAGUCGAACGGCAGCACAGUAAGAGCUUGCUCUUACGGGUGGCGAGUGGCGGACGGGUGAGGAAUACAUCGGAAUCUACUUUUUCGUGGGGGAUAACGUAGGGAAACUUACACUAAUACCGCAUACGACCUACGGGUGAAAGCAGGGGAUCUUCGGACCUUGCGCGAUUGAAUGAGCCGAUGUCGGAUUAGCUAGUUGGCGGGGUAAAGGCCUACCAAGGCGACGAUCCGUAGCUGAUCUGAGAGGAUGAUCGGCCACACUGGAACUGAGACACGGUCCAGACUCCUACGGGAGGCAGCAGUAGGGAAUAUUGCGCAAUGGGCGCAAGCCUGAUCCAGCAACACCGCGUGGGUGAAGAAGGCCUUCGGAUUGUAAAGCCCUGUUGUUAGGAAAGAACAGCAGCAGGUUUAUGUACCGCUGUUUUGACGGUACCUAAAGAAUAAGCACCGGCUAAUUUCGUG
rnacentral:rRNA from 1 species